rnacentral:rRNA from 1 species
CAGCCGCCGCGGUAAUACGUAGGUGGCAAGCGUUGUCCGGAAUUAUUGGGCGUAAGGGGCUCGCAGGCGGUUUCUUAAGUCUGAUGUGAAAGCCCCCGGCUCAACCGGGGAGGGUCAUUGGAAACUGGGAAACUUGAGUGCAGAAGGGGAGAGUGGAAUUCCACGUGUAGCGGUGAAAUGCGUAGAGAUGUGGAGGAACACCAGUGGCGAAGGCGACUCUCUGGUCUGUAACUGACGCUGAGGAGCGAAAGCGUGGGGAGCGAACAGGAUUAGAUACCCCGGUAGUCCCUGUCUCUUAUAC